GAUGAACGCUGGCGGCGUGCCUAAUACAUGCAAGUCGAGCGAACAGAUGAGGAGCUUGCUCCUCUGACGUUAGCGGCGGACGGGUGAGUAACACGUGGAUAACCUACCUAUAAGACUGGGAUAACUUCGGGAAACCGGAGCUAAUACCGGAUAAUAUAUUGAACCGCAUGGUUCAAUAGGGAAAGACGGUUUUGCUGUCACUUAUAGAUGGAUCCGCGCCGCAUUAGCUAGUUGGUAAGGUAACGGCUUACCAAGGCAACGAUGCGUAGCCGACCUGAGAGGGUGAUCGGCCACACUGGAACUGAGACACGGUCCAGACUACUACGGGAGGCAGCAGUAGGGAAUCUUCCGCAAUGGGCGAGAGCCUGACGGAGCAACGCCGCGUGAGUGAUGAAGGUCUUCGGAUCGUAAAACUCUGUUAUUAGGGAAGAACAAAUGUGUAAGUAACUAUGCACGUCUUGACGGUACCUAAUCAGAAAGCCACGGCUAACUACGUG
rnacentral:rRNA from 1 species